UGGCCUUAGAGAGAGCUGCUACUCCUUGUCCUUCCUUCCUCCUACAAAGAGUUUCCUCGAUUGUUUCCCAAAUCCAAGAUGAGAGUUUUCUUCAUCCUGGUCUUCUUCUUCAUCCUGGCUACAUGUCUAGGAGCCCCCAAAACAGCAACCAUUUUGACAACAACAAGGAGCCGUGCCUUCGUCCCAACAAAGACCAUAUAACCGCAAAACCCAAAAACUCAGCUUAAUUGCCACAGAUGCCUGUGCCAUAUAUAUGGGAUGCACUGCAACCACAGGUUCAACAGUGGUUCAGAUGUGCCUCUACAAUGAAAGAUAAUGGUACGUCUACCGUUGUCAAUGCGCUAUUAUUUUGAUAUUCUCACACAGAGGAACCUGAUUAAAUCUCUUAAUAUGUUAAUGAAUCUGAAUAAACCUCGCACAUAACCA